GACGUAGGGCGCGAGCGUUGUCCGGAUUUAUUGGGCGUAAAGAGCUCGUAGGCGGCUUGUCGCGUCGUCCGUGAAAACCUGCAGCUCAACUGCAGGCUUGCGGUCGAUACGGGCAGGCUAGAGUUCGGUAGGGGAGACUGGAAUUCCUGGUGUAGCGGUGAAAUGCGCAGAUAUCAGGAGGAACACCGGUGGCGAAGGCGGGUCUCUGGGCCGGUACUGACGCUGAGACGCGAAAGCGUGGGGAGCGAACAGG
rnacentral:rRNA from 1 species